rnacentral:rRNA from 1 species
UACGUAGGGGGCUAGCGUUGUCCGGAAUCAUUGGGCGUAAAGAGCGUGUAGGCGGUCCGGUAAGUCCGCUGUGAAAGUCGGGGGCUCAACCCUCGAAUGCCGGUGGAUACUGUCGGGCUAGAGUGCGGAAGUGGCGAGUGGAAUUCCUGGUGUAGCGGUGAAAUGCGCAGAUAUCAGGAGGAACACCUAUUGCGAAGGCAGCUCGCUGGGACGUUACUGACGCUGAGACGCGAAAGCGUGGGGAGCAAACAGG